GGACGGAGGAGACCUGGUCUGCACGCUGGAGGAGUUCCCAGGCGAAGCAGUAGGUAGGAGAGGCUCUGAAAUGGCCAUGAAAACAAAACGGACAGAAAGUACUUGCCAAGGAUCACAUCCAGAACAGUGAGGUGCCGUCCUGCAAGGUGCAUGCUUCCUUGGUGUCAGAGCCAGAACUCAAAGCCCGGACCCCUCAUUUCGAAGGCCAGCGGUCCGUCCUUUGCUGCUCUGGAUGGAACCGCUCAGUCUAACUGCCCGGAGGCUGGUCUGCAUGAAGACUAAGGUGGGGAAGCCGAGCUCCGCAGGGCUGCAGGGACCCGUGAGGAGUCGCCUGUCCAGUCCAGCACGUGUCUUCUGGGCUCAGGUCCUGGGACCUUGCAUGAAACAACGAGGAGAGAGUUUCAGCUUUUGGAAACACACCCCCCUCACCUCCCUCCCCUUCAUUAUUAUUUCUUCAAAAACAGGUGUAGCUUGGAUUGGGGGAAGAUUCUUUUGCAAUGAUAAACUCAGGGAAGGGGCGUGGCCAGCAGGAAGGGGGUUGAGCAAGGUCUGAGUUAGGUGGACCUGAGGUGGGAAGUGGCACUUAGAGGGGAGAAGGUGGGAAGCCAACCCCCUUGUCAUACAGAGGGAAUCAGCAGUGAAACAGUUUGUCAACAAACAAGCUUUGAAACCCUUCGGGGGGCAUCACGCUGUGGGUGACAGGCAGGCAGUCAUGCUGUGGGAACCCAGGACAAAGGAAGGAGAGUAGAAUUUAUUUAUUCAUUUACUUAUUCAUGAGCCUCACCUGAGGACAUUUUUUCAUUGCUGUUAGAGAGAGAGGAAAGGAGAGUGAGAAACACUGAUGUGAGAGAGACGUAUCAAUUGGUUGCCUCCUGCACACGCCCAGAACGAGGAUCGAACUCGCAACCCAGGUAUGUGCCCUGACUGGGAAUCGAACCUGCAACCUUUCAGUUACCAGACAACUCUCCAACCAACUAAGCCACACCGGCCAGGGAAUGAGUAGCCUUUACUGAGGUUUUCUGUGUGCCAGGCAGUCAGGAAGCUUGCUCAUUUGCUUUGAUUUGUAUAACAGUCUUACAAGGUGGAUUUCACCAUCUUCAGUUCAGAGGAAGCUGAGCUCAGGAGGAUAAGAUAAUUUGCAAACCGUCUCCUAGCCAAUGAGGAGUAGCACUCUAAGGCAAGUCCAGGUUAUCUGACCCUCAGUCUGUUAGUACAUUAGAAACCUCUCUUUCACAUGCAUCUUGGAGUGUGGGGAGGUGGGAGACCUCGCUUCCAGCCCCAGGAGAGCAACUUACUUACAGACCACAGCCUAACCUGGUGACCUCUGCUCCCUCCCCCACCGUGCGCACGUCCUGAAGCAUUAGAGGGGAAAGCACUGUGGACCUCAAGAAAAAGAAGUAUCUGCUAAAAAGGACUCUGCUUGCAAACUGGUCUGAAAAAAGUUGCUCCUCUUUCCAGAUUGGAGACUUUUGUUGAUGAUAGGGAUAGUUAACAAGAGGGGAAUCUUAAGUUAUGGGGUUCAAAACCACAGGAGCUGUAUUUGCAGGGUGGCCCAAAGUAUACAAAUUCCUUGAGGAGAACCCAGAAUGAAGGGACAGGCUCCCGAGGAAAGGGGAACUGGGAGAUUAGAUGGGAGCUCGCAGGGGGCUGGUACAGAAAGCGCCUCUUUACGAGGGUUCAGGGAACUUGGGUUCUCCUCCCCGCUCUGUCACUCAGCACGUGAGGAGUCUUGGACAGUAGCAUCCUCUCCAUGAGACUCAGUUUACUCAUUUGCAAAGUGAAGGAUUGGACCAGCGUGA